GUCCACGCCUAACGAUGUCAACUGGUUGUUGGGUCUUAACUGACUCAGUAACGAAGCUAACGCGUGAAGUUGACCGCCUGGGGAGUACGGCCGCAAGGUUGAAACUCAAAGGAAUUGACGGGACCCGCACAAGCGGUGGAUGAUGUGGUUUAAUUCGAUGCAACGCGAAACCUUACCCACCUUUGACAUGUACGGAAUCCUUUAGAGAUAGAGGAGUGCUCGAAAGAGAGCCGUAACACAGGUGCUGCAUGGCUGUCGU
rnacentral:rRNA from 1 species